rnacentral:rRNA from 1 species
AAUUCGAUGCAACGCGAAGAACCUUACCUGGUCUUGACAUCCCGGAGACCCUUAGGAAACUAGGGGUGCUUCCAUCUGGAAGAAUCUGGAGACAGGUGCUGCAUGGCUGUCGUCAGCUCGUGUCGUGAGAUGUUGGGUUAAGUCCCGCAACGAGCGCAACCCUUGCCUUUAGUUGCCAGCAGUUCGGCUGGGCACUCUAAAGGGACUGCCGGUGUUAAACCGGAGGAAGGUGGGGAUGACGUCAAGUCCUCAUGGCCUUUAUGACCAGGGCUACACACGUACUACAAUGGCCGAUACAAAGGGCAGCGACACUGCGAGGUGAAGCCAAUCCCGUAAAAUCGGUCUCAGUCCGGAUUGGAGUCUGCAACUCGACUCCAUGAAGUUGGAAUCGCUAGUAAUCGUGGAUCACGCAUGCCACGGUAGAAUACGUUCCCGGGCCUU